rnacentral:rRNA from 1 species
GGAUUCAUUUUCUCAGGUAACGUAGCCUAACGCGUGAAAGUUGACCGCCUGGGGAGUACGGUCGCAAGAUUAAAACUCAAAGGAAUUGACGGGGACCCGCACAAGCGGUGGAUGAUGUGGAUUAAUUCGAUGCAACGCGAAAAACCUUACCUACCCUUGACAUGCCACUAACGAAGCAGAGAUGCAUUAGGUGCCCGAAAGGGAAAGUGGACACAGGUGCUGCAUGGCUGUCGUCAGCUCGUGUCGUGAGAUGUUGGGUUAAGUCCCGCAACGAGCGCAACCCUUGUCUCUAGUUGCUACGCAAGAGCACUCUAGAGAGACUGCCGGUGACAAACCGGAGGAAGGUGGGGAUGACGUCAAGUCCUCAUGGCCCUUAUGGGUAGGGCUUCACACGUCAUACAAUGGUGCGUACAGAGGGUUGCCAACCCGCGAGGGGGAGCUAAUCCCAGAAAACGCAUCGUAGUCCGGAUCGUAGUCUGCAACUCGACUACGUGAAGCUGGAAUCGCUAGUAAUCGCGGAUCAGCAUGCCGCGGUGAAUACG